CUUGGUCAUAUAAGUUACACUAACCUAAAGGAUGGGAAACCAUCAAAAGCAUUUAGGCAAGAAAAUGUCAAUAUCAGAGAUAUGUUUUAAAACAUUACUUUGAACACUGUGUGAGGAAGGGAUUAAAGGCGAGAAAGAGAGCAAAGCCAGAGAGAUGAAUUAGGAGGUUAUGUUAGUUAGAAAUGCUUUCAGCUUCAAGUAAGAGAAUACCCAAAUACCUUAAACCCUGUAGCAACAUUUAUGGUUUACCAACAGGAAAUCGGGAAACAAUGCCUCCUCAGGAACAGUUUGGGAGCUCUGUGAUUUCAUUAAAAACCCGAGCUUUCUCCAUCCUUCUCCAUCACCAUCUUCCAUGUGUUGGCUUUUUCUUCUCUCCUGUCGUCUCCUGGUUGCAAGAUGGCUGCCUUAGCUUUCAGACACAAUAAUCUGAUUCAAGGCAGGAGGAAGGGGGAAGGGACAGCGAUAGCUACCAUCUGUUCCAUUUCUCUAGAAAGCAAAACUUUCCCAAAAGCCCAUCACAGAUGUCUUUUUACAUCUCAUUGGUCAGAACCAGGUCACAUUGCCCCUCUAACUGCAAGGAAGGCUAGAAAUUUGAUCAGGCUUCUUCAUUAUGAUUCAGUACCUGGAGCUGGACACAUUGUUGCCUGGAGCAAAACUGGAGUUCUGAUAGCCAGGUAAAAAGAGAAAUGACUUUGGGGUAGGAAAUCAACAGUGAUGGUCACAGAGGCCAGGGAAGAUGGCCCUGACUAAGAUGCUGGCAUUGGACACAGAGAUAUUUAAGAGGUGGAAGUUACAGAACUUGGUGAUGGGAUGUGAGGAAUGAAGGAGGGGAAGGAGAAAAGGAUGAUUUCCAGGUUUGAGCUUGGGCAGCCAACAGAUUGUGAUGUCAUCUACUACAACAGAAAAUAUGAAGAAGAAACACAGGUGUGAGGAAGAUGAAAAGUCCACUUUUAAACAUUAGAUCCAGCAGUUAUCUUGCAACCAUGAGGAGAAUGGCCACACACUAAGGAGGAUGGAACAGGAAGGUGCCCUCCCCUGACAGCUGUGGGUAUCAGCCUCCUGUCGAAGUUUGGCACGAAAGCAGGUUUUGCGUUAGAAGUCUCAGAGGAGCCUCUUUUUGGGAAGGAGUAGUGAAGACAAGAGAGAACAGAGAGACACACGGAGUAGCAGAAGGAGCAGCUGGCUGGGGUUGAUUGAUCUGGUCCUGGCCCUCAGCCUGCCACUAACCAGCUCUGUGACCUCUCUGGGCCUCAGUCUACAGAACAAAGGAUUUGAGCUGGAGCAGUGUUUCUCAACUUCAUAACCAUCAAAAAGAAGGACCUCGUAUUUCUUUUAAGAUUUUUCUCUGCCAGACUGCAUUUAUCAAAUAAUUCAUAUUUCCAUGAGAAUACUGUGUUGAUACAAUUCCGGCCAAAAGCAAAGAAAAAUAACUUUUUAAUUUAGCCUUGUUAGUCUUACCAUAGGAUGAAACUUCCAUUAGUUCUUUGGAAAAAUUGGAAAUGUUUCUCGGGUCCACAUGAUUAUCUUGAGGACUUGUUGUGCCCUAGGGCUUUCCUACAAGAGUGCUGGCCUAGGAGUUCACUGGGGUCCAGUUCUGCUUUCCGUGAUGCCGGAGCCUGUGCCCCUUAGGAGCCAGUGGAGGUGCAUUUUCCCUCCUGCCCCCAGGCCCAGUGCCAAUUCCCAGUGCCAGGAGCUCGCUUCCCUCGUGAAAAACAAGCCUGUCGGAAUGGCACCUUCCUGCUGACCUGAGGGCACCUCAUUCACCCUCCUGCCUGCUAUCCCUCCUCACAGGCCCUUUCCCCCAUCCCACCUCCCCCCCAUCCCAGGAGGGAGUUGUCUCACCUAAGCCUUCAUCUCCAUGAGCCUGCUCUGCGGCCUUCUGACCUGAGAGACCUGGAGACGCUUUCAGCCAGUCAGAGGAGGAAGCCUGGUCAUCUCCCUCAGGCAGCUCCAUCGCCUGGUGAAGAGGGAAGGGCAGAGGCUCCCAACCCAGCUGAUAAAUGCUGUCACAGAGGGUCCAAUCUGCUGCUGGAGCCCUGAACGGUCAGCUCUGCUUGGAAGUGCGAAAGGUCAGAGAGAGGAGGGAAGAUCUGAGUCAGGGCCUGAAGGAUGAAGGGAGAAGCCUUUGAAGACCAGAGCCCCAGGAAGGGCGUGCACUGUCCUGAAGGAGCUCACAGAUUAGUGGAGAGAGAAACAUGGAGAACUUGUAGCCUCUGGUCCUGCAUUAGGGGAAGCACCUUCAAGGAGACACACCCUAGACUCCAGAGCAGCAGCUGACAACCCCUGAUGACACGAGGCAGCGUGCCACCAAACCACAGAGCAGCCUCAAUAGGUCCUAGCCCCAGGCCCCUCUUAUAUCUGACGUUUGCCCCGUCUUGGUUGAAGAGCAGCCCUGAGUCUUCUGUCCGCUCUGGAAGCUGUGGAAUUUUCCCGCCUGGAGGCUGGAGACUGGAGCAGCCCUUCUCCUGCCCCGCCCAUGCUCUCCAAGCCAAACCAGCAAAUUGGCAGAGAAAACUAACCAAGAUCUAUUUGAGGAAUGGGAAACUUGGGAAAGAAGAUGCUUCUAGAAUUUCUUCCCCAUGCUCUAGUCUGGGCAGGUUGCUCCCGGGAGGGUUGGGCUGUGGGUUGCCACUGUUAGAAUCUAAUAGGAGCUGCCUUCCUCUCGCUCCCGGCCCUGCCUAGUUAUUUGCAAGCCUGCUUGUUAGGGAAAUUCAAUUCCCCCUGGAACCCACCACCUGGAAAAACACCUCGCAGCACACAUAGUGAACAACGAGUGCAUUAACGGGGGAGGAGGAGACGGUGGCAGGCACUGGACCAAGGCGCCAUCAGUUCUGGAGGCUAGUGAAGUCUUCCAGCUGAACCGAAGCAUGUUGUUGUGCCUGGCCGGGAGGACAGCCGCACUCGCCUGGCGUCUGAAUGUGCCCCUCCACUCCCCGCUCUCCAGAGUCCGGGGGCACCGUGGAAUGAAUGCGCCAUUGCUUCACCAGGCUUCCAGGUUUGGCUCUCUUUGCAGGCCUUUGCUAAGUGCCAGGGUCGCCUUCAAGUUCAGCUCCCUCCGUGAACAGAGCCCAGUAGGUGCUUGGAGAGCAGGGGGAGAAGGAUGAGAACUCCCAGGAUACACAGGCUCUGUCCGGGGAGCUCUCAGCCUGAUGGAGACCCACCUGCCCUCAGGAAGUAAAGGCAGAGAGAGUCCCACAGGAGGGAGGCUCUGUAUUGCACGCAGUCGAGCAUGAACAUCAAAGCCAUCCCCGUCUGCUGUGAGGAGACCACCUCCAAGGUGAGGAAACUAAGGCACAGAAAAGCUGAGUAACUUGCCCAAGGCUCCACGGUCAUUAAGGGGUCGAGCCAGAUUUUAAACCAGAGUCUGUACUCUCAGGCACCUCCAUAAGAGACCAGGAUGUGGAAGCUUCUGGGAGUCCUUCUCUGGAUCCACAGAAGGCGUGCUCUCUAAGCAGGUAGUCCCAUAGGCGGGGCCAACUCCAGAGGCCUGGGGAGCCAGCGCACUGGGAGAGAGUCCAGCAUGGGCACAGCUGACUCUGGGACCCCUGGGGCCUCUCUCCCCACUACACCCCAUCCAGGGCUGCUGGGGCGAAAUGGAUUCAUGGAAAUGAGGGUGCUGGCAAUGUUGGAAGAUGCUCCCUACACACAAGGCCGUAACUUCCCCAGACUGGCAGGGCUGGGACAUCAGUGAGGUCUUCUAGUCAGAACGAAGGUCAGGGGACACAGCCAGGCAGGGAGAUGGCUCCUGCUAAAUGAGCCCAUCACUUUCCUCCCGGCCCUGCCUGCCUGCUCUCCGUGCCUGACCUUUCCCCAACUCUCAGAGGGAGAGGGGAGAGAGGGAGGCUGAGGAGGAGCAGGGAGGCAGCCAGCACAAGAGAAGACAGGCUGCUCUUAAAAUAACAACCCAAAAUCCUCUCCUGAUUUAUGAGGUUUGGUCCAAGCUGGGAGCUUUUGGAUCAAACGAAAACUCCUUGGCCCACCCUGCCGCGGCUCAGCACAGGGUUUGUUUUCCAGGCAGAUUGCCUCGGCCUGCCCUGGAAAUUUUUGGGCAAAGGGGCCAGUACAGCCCAGGGGCAGAGGUCCGGGGCAAGGAGAACCAGUGGGACCCGUUCUGUGGACUGGGCAGAGGCCCAGGGAUUUCUGGCAUUUUGUCAGAGGAGCCAGGAGGGCAGCCUCAAAUCGUACUUCUCCCCAUGCAGACAGCUGGGCGGGAAAGCCCGCAGGAUCCAGCCUGCAGACCAUUUCAGCUGCAGCGUUUCGCUAGCCCCAACCACUCAGGCUGCAUGAGGCAGGAGCGGGGCUCACCACCAGAAGUAGGCGCCCAGUGUGACAGAGACAACUGGGUCCGGCGGACAGUUGGGGCGGGCUGUGUAUGGGAAACAUCUGUAGUUGCCCAUCUAAAGACAAAGACAGAGAUGGGAGGAGGGAGAGAAAGGGUGGGGGUAACUUCUGAAGCCCUGGGGAAGGAUAAAUUAGGACACUCACGAAAAAAUAAACACAGAGAGUGGAAAAAGGAAGGAGGAAGAAAAAAAGAGCCUUUUGCAUCCUCUUGAAGGGCAAAACAGAGAAGAUGGCCUCAUCCCUAAACCGCAGCAAGAAGUGUUGGGUUAGACCUGAGGAAGAUGGGAGGCCCUACCUACUUUGUAUCCACUGGCAUGAGGCACAGCGCGAGAUGCGUCCUUAGCAGUUUGGGGGAGGAUGGGGUGCUCUGGAGGGGUGGGCAGGAUGGGCCCUGGAUAAAUGCAGGGAAGAGGGCCUGAAGAUCUCCAGAGGCCCUUCUAAGUAGACUACGUGAUUUUCUAAGAGCCAGG
rnacentral:lncRNA from 1 species